rnacentral:rRNA from 1 species
GCUGACAAACCGCAUACGUUUCGCGAGAAAAAAGUCGCAAGACGCUUUUUGAUGAGCCUGCGCCCGAUUAGUUAGUUGGUGGGGUAAAAGCCUACCAAGACGGCGAUCGGUAGCUGUCUGAGAGGACGAUCAGCCACACUGGGAUUGAGAACGGCCCAGACUCCUACGGGGGGCAGCAGUGAGGAAUUUUCCGCAAUGGGCGAAAGCCUGACGGAGCAACGCCGCGUGCAGGAUGACGGCCUUCGGGUUGUAAACUGCUUUUCUCUGGGAAGAACCAUGACGGUACCAGAGGAAUCAGCCUCGGCUAACUACGUGCCAGCAGCCGCGGUAAUACGUAGGAGGCGAGCGUUGUCCGGAGUUACUGGGCGUAAAGCGCACGCAGGCGGUCUAUCGCGUGGCCACUGACAGUUUGCGGCUCAACUACAAAAGGCGUGACCAAACGGAUAGACUUGAGGGCUUCAGAGGAAGAGAGAAUUCCGGGUGGAGUGGUGAAAUGCGUAGAGAUCCGGAGGAAUACCAAAGGCGAAGGCACUCUUCUGGGAAGUUCCUGACGCUCAGGUGCGAAAGCUAGGGGAGCGAACGGGAUUAGAUACCCCGGUAGUCCUAGCCGUAAACGAUGACCACUAGGUAUACGGGGUAUCGACCCCCUGUGUGCCGUAGCUAACGCCUUAAGUGGUCCGCC